CCUUACCACUCUUUGAAACCAAAAGAAUUUUACAAGAAUUGAUUUGGUCCCUUCGGGAACUUUAAAACAGGUGCUGCAUGGCUGUCGUCAGCUCGUGUUGUGAAAUGUUGGUUUAAGUCCCGCAACGAGCGCAACCCUUAUCCUUUGUUGCCAGCGGUUCGGCCGGGAACUCAAAGGAGACUCCCAGUGAUAAACUGGAGGAAGGUGGGGAUGACGUCAAGUCAUCAUGGCCCUUACGAGUAGGGCUACACACGUGCUACAAUGGCAUAUACAAAAAGAAGCGACCUCGCGAGAGCAAGCGGAACUCAUAAAGUAGUUGUAGUCCCCUUUUUAUUCGGCAACUCGCUCCAUCUGUCGGAAUCGCUAGUUAUCGUAGUACACAAACUUGCCAGGC
rnacentral:rRNA from 1 species